GAUGCAGAAGUCUUACCACAAAAGCUAUGUCUAAGAUACUGAAUGUAACAAAGACACCGAACCAAUCUCAUUUUCCAGUAAUACCAUGGAGGUGCUAACAGUUUUCUUCUUUGGGUUGGUUUCCAUUUAGCAGAUCUAGACCUAAUCUUUGGUUAGGGCUUUUCACAGUCUUUUUUGGGUAUUGUUUUACCAAUUCCUUGGUCAUCUCUUAUGAACAGAGUGGAGGCACUCCGGAAACCCGAUAUGGCUUGCUAGAAGUUAAAGAUGGCCUCUCGUGAAGCUGGUGUGAUAUUCAUAAAAAAGACUUUGAGCUCAGGGAGUUGAUAAUAGAGACAUGUGUGCUGGUGCUGCAUUGAUUGACGAAGUACACAAGACAACUGUGGUAUGACUAUAUGGCCCUUUUUAUUUUCUUUUGGAAUACAAAAGUUUAUUCUUUUGUAUUUGAAGUUUUGAGAAUAAUUAGUAAAUCUUACAAAUACAUACAAUUGAAAUAAAUUUCAUUGUAGAAUAAUGAGAGCCAAAGUUUCUUUUUGUGGCUGACUUCAGGAAUAGAUAAGAUGGGCCAUUAUCCCUUUUCUCUUAUUUACUUCAAGAAUUUGUUUUUUAUUUGUACUAGAACAAACUGAUGAUGGCUAUUGUACCAACUUAUUAUUUGUCAUCACAAUCGAGAUAACCCGGCGACAAUACUUACUUUGUGUUGGUAUUGGAAAAUUGAUUGAGUUGGAUCCAAGGUUUGGUUCACCUUUAGACUUGUGGUUGCGAUACUAGAAGAAAAUAUAGUUGUGUAUUUGACUAUGUGGAUACACUAUUUCUUACCUUGUUGGAUAUGAUUGUCCUCUCAUACAAAGACAGUUUAUUGCUAUUCAAUGCAUAUUUACAAUUGCUUAUCAUGGAGUCUCUUGGGAAAGAGUUUAACCUAGAUGGUAACUGGUAUAUUUUCCACAGUUUCUAUAGUUCCCAUGCCUUUAAUUUUCAGAUUAAAACCACACAUAAUAGAUGCAUUUCCACUUACUUAUGUAACCUCAUACGUGCACCAACUCAGUCAACCACAUGUCAUAAAAGGAACCCUGUAAUUUACUUCUAUUCCUUGGAUAUUUUGUGUUCACUAUCAAUGAAACCUAUUUGUUUAGUGAAACAUUAUGUUAUUUUGCCUAGUACCUGUACUCACUCUUUUGGCAGCAAAUUAUUUAGGUGUUUUACAAAAUUUUCCUCACCUUCAAAUCCUGUGAGAAUAAAAGAGGAGUAUAUAUUUUCAGUCAGUUUUCUACAUCAAGCAUAUUUAUUGACAUGCUCCAAUUGCUACAUGUGUAUCCCAACUGCAGGUCUCUCAUUCUUAACAUAACAUUUUUUGUCAUAAGUUUAGUCUUCAUGAUAUUGUUAAUGGUUCAAUAAUCUACUUGGGAAGAUUUGAGCCAAAUUGUUGUUGUGGUUUUUAGCCAACUACUGUUGCUUUUUUUUUUUACCUAAAAUGUUACUUUAAAGACUGUUUUAACCAGCUUCAAUGG